AUCGGCCCGGCCCAGGAGGGGCGGUCAGCGGCGAGUCAGGGCACCUCGAACCGGCUCCCGGCUCCCGGUCCGGCUGCCUGCCAGCGGCCGCUCAGGACAGAAGCGAGAUGCCUGCCUAGGCGUUUCUGGUUACAAUCACCUCACACACCGGCCUGCAUUCCGCCCCCCCAACCCCCAUCCUUACCACGAAGUCUGAAGUCACACCUUCUCCCUGGCUGGGAAGCUUUGCCAGGGUGGGGGCGAUGAGUGCCGGCCGAGGUUGUUAAUCUAAGGAGCUCCAGCAGGUCCGUAAAAAGGAAUAUUUUCGGUGGCCAGAAAAAUCAACAUUGAAUUAGAUGAAUAACCAGAGGCUUGAAAAGGUGAAGUGACAUCCCGGAGUGACACGGCUGUAGGGACAUCACCCAGUAGACUGAGUCUCACUCUGUCACUCAGGCUGGAAUGCAGUGGCAUUAUCUUGGCUUGCUGCAACCUCCACCUCUUGGGUUCCAGUGAUUCUCCUGCUUCAGCCUCCCAAGCAGCUGGGAUUACAGACUCCUUAAUGCCUAAUUGAACGGGAUUUUGAUUCACUGUUCUAAUAUUUCACAUUCAAUUUCAUGGUUGAAAACACCUUUCUCAUUUGCCACAGAGCAGUCGCAAUUCUGCAGUGAUUUACAGUUUUGCAAAAGUGGAGUCUAUUUCGUAAUUUAGGAUGGGUUAAAUAAAGGUAUUAUGCAUGUACAAAAUGGAGUAUGUUCUGACAUCUCUGAUCUCUCUCUCUCUCUCCAUUAAGUAAAAGCAAACCAAAAAACAGGUUACAAACUAGUUUGAAUACAUUGUCUUAAAAUGUCUGUAUGUUUUAUUAAAAUAACAAAUGCAUA